ACUGUGGAGUGUACAAGAACUUGUGAGUAGCGUAUUGCUUGCAAUCGCCAAAGCAUACACGUUGAAGCAGUAA
rfam:Butyrivibrio proteoclasticus strain P18 genome assembly, contig: Ga0066879_104